rnacentral:rRNA from 1 species
UAAUACAUGCAAGUCGAACGGCGCGGGGCGACCCGCGCAGUGGCGAACGGGUGAGUAACACGUAGGCAACCUGCCCCCGGGACCGGGAUACCCAGGCGAAAGCUUGGCUAAUACCGGAUGACGCCGGAGCCCGCAUGGGCUUCGGCUGAAAGGCGCUUCGGCGCCGCCCCCGGAUGGGCCUGCGGCGCAUUAGCUAGUUGGCGGGAAGAAGGCCCACCAAGGCGAGGAUGCGUAGCCGACCUGAGAGGGUGAACGGCCACAAUGGGACUGAGAC